CCCUGGUGGUUCAGACUGUGAUGAAUCUGCUUGCAAUGCAGGUGACCCAGGUUCAAGCCCUGGAUCAGGAA
rnacentral:tRNA from 1 species